rnacentral:rRNA from 1 species
AUUGAACGCUGGCGGCAGGCCUAACACAUGCAAGUCGAGCGGAGCGGCGGACGGGUGCGUAAUGCUUAGGAGUCUGCCUGGAAGUGGGGGAUAACGUCCGGAAACGGGCACUACUACCGCUUAAUAUCAGAUGAGCAUAUGUCGGAGUCGCUAGGUGGGGGGGUAAAGGCCUACCAAGGAGACGAGCCGUAACUGAUCUGAGGGGAUGAGCAGUCAAACUGGAACGGAGACACGGUCCAUACUCCUACGGGAGGCAGAAUUGGGGAAUAUUUGACAAUGGGCGAAAGCCUGAUCCAGCCAUGCCGCGUGUGUGAAGAAGGUCUUCGGAUUGUAAAGCUCUUUAAGUUGGGAGGCGUUACCAACAGAAUAAGCACCGGCUAACUACGUGCCAGCAGCCGCGGUAAUUC